rnacentral:rRNA from 1 species
GACGAACGCUGGCGGCGUGCUUAACACAUGCAAGUCGAACGGAAAGGCCCUGCUUUUGUGGGGUGCUCGAGUGGCGAACGGGUGAGUAACACGUGAGUAACCUGCCCUUGACUUUGGGAUAACUUCAGGAAACUGGGGCUAAUACCGGAUAGGAGCUCCUGCUGCAUGGUGGGGGUUGGAAAGUUUCGGCGGUUGGGGAUGGACUCGCGGCUUAUCAGCUUGUUGGUGGGGUAGUGGCUUACCAAGGCUUUGACGGGUAGCCGGCCUGAGAGGGUGACCGGCCACAUUGGGACUGAGAGACGGAGCAGACGGCUACGGGAGGCAGCAGUGGGGAAUAUUGCACAACGGGGGGAAGUCUGAUGCAGCAACGCCGCGUGCGUGAUGACGGCCUUCGGGUUGUAAACCGCUGUCGCCGGUGACGAAGCGUGAGUGACGGUAAUGGGUAAAGAAGCACCGGCUAACUACGUG